rnacentral:lncRNA from 1 species
UAUAUCAGGAUCAGAAGAGGAGAGAGUUUCUCAAUUUGAUAUAGGAGAGAAUGAUAGUGGCUGAUUAUGAAGCAAAGUUUGUUGAGCUGUCCCACUUUGGUCCAGCAUUUGUUGUGGAUGAAAAAAAAAUGUCGGUUGUUUCAGGAUGGGCUGUGCCUUAAGAUUAAGGCAAAAAUAAAAAUGCAUAACCAUGGUAAUUUUGCAAAGUUGGUUGUAGGAACUAUUAGGGCAGAGAAAAUUGAGAAGAAAUUUUAUAAUCAUAAGCAGAAAAGGGGUAAGAGAAGUGUGCAGAACUUUUUCCUAGAUACAUAAGGAAGUCAGUCAUCAAAGAAGAUUAAAGUAUUUAGACAGCCUAAUCAGAACUUCAGAGCAUCAAUAGAGUUGGGCAUAGGUUCUUUUGCUUUAACUAGUCCAAAACAAAGGAGAAUAUAGAAUAGAGGGUUGUGCCACAAUCAGCAGAAAGUUGGGUGAUAGAAAGAAGGGAGCAUCAGGAUAAUUUUAGUAGGGAUGCCAGUCCAGUUGCCACUUCACUAAACCAAGUCCCUUAAUGUGGUAUUUAUGAAAAGUUCCAUGGUGGAGAAUGUAGAAGUGGAUCUAGAAGAUGUUUCAAGUAUGGUCAAAGAGGUCAUCAAAGGAAGGACUGUCCUAACAAAGCUUCGGCUAGGAGUCUCCCACCAAAGUCAAAUGCUCCACGAAGAUUUCAGACUAGAGGUGAUAAUUAUAUUACUGAUGUACAAGCAAGGUGAGGAUUGGUACCAAUAGGCAGGGUGAUAUACCAGUAAGAUUGAGCACUGAAUCAUAAGUUGUGACAGGAGGUAUGGGUUACUCUUAAUGGGGUGUUAGGUAUGACAUCUAUAACUGAGUGGAUGAUUAUAUCUCCGAUUUCAGCAAAUAAGAUUGGACCGA